UACGUAGGGAGCAAGCGUUGUCCGGAAUCAUUGGGCGUAAAGCGCGCGUAGGUGGCCCCAUAAGUCCGCUGUGAAAGUCAAAGGCUCAACCUUUGAAAGCCGGUGGAUACUGUGGGACUAGAGUACGGAAGAGGCGAGUGGAAUUCCUGGUGUAGCGGUGGAAUGCGCAGAUAUCAGGAGGAACACCAAUAGCGAAGGCAGCUCGCUGGGACGUUACUGACACUGAGAUGCGAAAGCGUGGGGAGCAAACAGG
rnacentral:rRNA from 1 species